GAAAAAGAAACAUUUUGUUCCAUCACUGUCCUAUCAGCUCUGUGCGGUUCCAAACAUUUGGCAUCAUGAACAGACGUAGAAUCAUGCCACUGCCACGCCACCACCAGGUGCAAAUAUGCCAAAGUGCCUCUUGACCAUGGACGAGACAUUUCAUCUCUGGACCUUGGCUUCUGCACAUGUAAAAUGAAGAUGGUAACAUCCGCUUCACCUGCUCCCACAGUCACUAUAACAUGAAGAAGAAUGUCACGCUGGGGAGCAACGUCACCAAAGCACCCAGACUUGUGGAAAUGCUGAGUUUUUCGCUUGGCCUCCUAGCUGGAACAAUCAACACGGGCCCAAACGAUCCCAAACAUUUUGGCAAUGUCGACAGUUCUGCCUACCAGCAACUGGACCUGUGGUUCUUCGAUUAUCAAUUCGAGAAGUUGCAAACCUGCCUGCCUCAGCAGACGGAUGAGGCUGGGAGGCUCUGGAGUCAUGCCGACUGUUUUCAAAUCCUUGCUACUUACCUGCUGUGUGGUUUGGGCAAAUUGCAAAAGCCUCUCUGUGCUCGGUUUCCUCAUCUAUAACAACAGGGAUAAUAACACCCACCCCAUAAAUGAGGAAGUUCACGUUGAGCACUUGAUACUCUGUACGAUGACUCGACUUAGUCAUGACUCAACAAGUGUUAGCUGUAUUUCAUUUCCAUCAAACAAAAUAUUAAGCACUUAAACAAUUUAUAACAUUCAAAGCUUUCCAGAGAAGGAAAGAUUUCUUCGUAGAGACAGUGGGAUGGCUUGGAAAAAGUAUUGGACUUGGAGUCUGUCCUAAUCCUACUACCAACGCCAAUCAUUUCUGUUACUCAAGGCAACCCUAUUAACCUCCAGGAAGUCUCAGUUUCUUUAUUCACUUAAUGUCAAUAAUAAUGCACGUCCUGCCUACGAUAUGGUUCUGAAAAUAAAAGAGAUGAUUCAUGUGAA